rnacentral:snRNA from 1 species
GGAUGUGAGGGCAAUCUGACUUUGAGAUCUGUCACCCCACUGAUCCUCAGGGUUGAUUCUGGCUGGCUAGGUGGGUGGCCCCUUCCUCAUUUAUCACUCCAUGUGCAGGUCUCCAAAGUUGUGUGCUCAAGGUCAAAGAGGACAGCCUUCCUGGAAUAGAGAUGGAUGGUCUGCGGUCUAGGGUAUAUGAGUAGCUGUGCUCCCCUCCUAUAACCUCCAAAUAAGCUCUCAAGGCCCAUUUGUAGGAGAAAGUAGGGUAGUCAAGCUUCCAAGUCUCCAGACACAUCCAAAUGAGGCGCUGCAUGUGACAGUCUGCCUUUCUAG